rnacentral:rRNA from 1 species
CCUACGGUGGGCAGCAGUGAGGAAUAUUGGUCAAUGGGCGAGAGCCUGAACCAGCCAAGUCGCGUGAGGGAGUACUGCCCUAUGGGUUGUAAACCUCUUUUGUCGGGGAGCAAAAGCCGGACGUGUCCGGCUGUGAGAGUACCCGAAGAAAAAGCAUCGGCUAACUCCGUGCCAGCAGCCGCGGUAAUACGGGGGAUGCGAGCGUUAUCCGGAUUUAUUGGGGUUAAGGGGGGCGCAGGCGGAUUUUUAAGUCAGCGGUCAAAUCGUGGGGCUCAACCCCAUCCAGCCGUUGAAACUGGGGAGCUGGAGUGUGCGAGAGGUAUGCGGAAUGCGUGGUGUAGCGGUGAAAUGCAUAGAUAUCACGCAGAACCCCGAUUGCGAAGGCAGCAUACCGGUGCACAACUGACGCUCAGGCACGAAAGCGUGGGUAUCGAACAGGAUUAGAUACCCGGGUAGUC